rnacentral:rRNA from 1 species
AGUGAACGCUGGCGGUAGGCCUAACACAUGCAAGUCGAACGGCAGCACAGUAAGAGCUUGCUCUUACGGGUGGCGAGUGGCGGACGGGUGAGGAAUACAUCGGAAUCUACUUUUUCGUGGGGGAUAACGUAGGGAAACUUACGCUAAUACCGCAUACGACCUACGGGUGAAAGCAGGGGAUCUUCGGACCUUGCGCGAUUGAAUGAGCCGAUGUCGGAUUAGCUAGUUGGCGGGGUAAAGGCCCACCAAGGCGACGAUCCGUAGCUGGUCUGAGAGGAUGAUCAGCCACACUGGAACUGAGACACGGUCCAGACUCCUACGGGAGGCAGCAGUGGGGAAUAUUGGACAAUGGGCGCAAGCCUGAUCCAGCCAUACCGCGUGGGUGAAGAAGGCCUUCGGGUUGUAAAGCCCUUUUGUUGGGAAAGAAAAGCAGCAGGUUAAUACCACGCUGUUCUGACGGUACCCAAAGAAUAAGCACCGGCUAACUUCGCG